GCCGCGCGCUGCUGGCAGGGGGCGGCGGGUCCGGCGGCGAGGGGCGCGGGGCGCGGCUGCCGGGGGCGGCCGGGGGGCUCCGUUAUUUCCUUUCCUCAGCUGUCCACGCUCGCCCCUCGUCGCUUGCCCGGGCAGAGGGGACGGGAGGCAGGUGGUUUCGGAGCUGGCCGAGGCCCCGGGGGCGGCCGGUGGGGCCCUCGCCUCGGGGUGCCCGGCGGCGAACGGUCCCGGCCCUUUGGUGCUACCAAAAAAAGAUGCUCUCUAUGAAUAGAGAGAGUCCUAUUUACUCUGAAAUAUUUGGCACAGCGGAUGGAGUCAGAAGCAUGGAAGAAGUGGCUAUUAUUUUCCCACUGCCUGUGUGCAGCUGUUAUUUCUGAGCAACACGUUCCUUGCACAUCUCUGCUUCCCAACCUUGCUGAUGGUCUACCCCAGGAUUACAACAAGAGACUGGCAUGCCACCACACUCGGCCAAAACCUGAAUGUUGUGGUUUGUAUUUGACCAAACCCAAGACCUAAGCAUUGUGGCUUGUGUUAAAUCAUUGCAGAUAACUGUUAUGGUUUUCUCUCUCUUUUUAAUUAUUUUCUUUUUUCUUUUUUCUUUUUUUUUUUUUUUUUAAACCAGGAGGAUGGUUCUUCCCUGACCUCCCCAUGUAUAAUCACUUGAAUAUUCAGUGAUGUCAUGUUGUUUGACCUCCACUUUAAUGCAAGGAAUGCCAGCAUUUUGGCUUUUGACCUAUAGAAGUAUGUUGGUGUUUAGUGAGGAAGACCGGCUUAACGCAUCUUAUUAGGCAAACUGAAAUCUGAUGGUUAUCUUAAAAGAUACGGUCUUUUGCAUGUAGGCUUUCUCCCGCUGCCAUACCCCUCCUUCUUUCUGUCCCUCCAUAUGCAGGCGUUCUUCCGCGCUGUGAUGCAGCAAUAUGUAUGCACAGGACUCUUGAGGGGAAAAAGAAACGUUUUCAUGUAAAGCGCUAAUAGGAUAUAUUGUACUGUAAAACUGUUAUUUAUAUUCUGCCAGCACUCUACUUCAACUGGUAAAGUCGUUUGGAUGUCAUUUCUUCUACUUGAAAUUCUCUAUUAAAAGAAAUGAGAUUGGCUCUGAAAGAUAAAGAAAAAAAAUAUCAGGGGAACAGUUAACAUUAAAUAUUAUAUGGUAAAUAAUAUAUGUUCCCAGACCUAAGAGGCUUCCUGAAAUCUGUAUUUACUUGAAGGACUCGAAUGGCCUCAGAACUGGGUAAAUAAUGUGUUCCAAACUAUGUAUGACAUGCAUACCAAAAUGCAAAUGUAACCAGGUAAACAGAAUGCCUUUUUAAAAUGCCUAAAUAUGGUAGGAGAACAUCAGAGAGAGAGAGAGAGAGAGAGAGAGAGAGAGAGAGAGAGAAAGAGGCUCUUGACAUGUUUUAUAACUUUCCAUGUAAGAGUUUUUUUCAAAGAAACAAUUUUAUUAAACAAAACCUAAGAAUUUCACUGACAGAAAAAGUAUGUUUAAAAGUAACAAACCAUCAGAAAGCCCGGAAAUCCAAAAUUAAAGGAUAAAUCUGUCCUAAGUCCUCACACUGCGGGCCAAGUACAUCAAGCUGCAUCCAUUUGCUGCCCUGAGAAAAAAACAAAAAAGGUCUUAAAUAGGCAUUUGGUCUAGAGAACUAAUUCUGGUCUUGUACCAUUGUGAAUCGGGCAUUAGCCCACUGAAUUAAAAGUUGUACCAGCCCAUGAAGGUGGGUAAGAAUCAAGGUCCAUCAGGUUUGCUUUUGUGUCACUUCGGUUUCUGUGCUGUUAGAUGUGACUCAUGGGGUACCUUGUUUGUGCAUGUGUAUGUAUGCACAGGGGCAGAGGGAACCUGGAAACAAAGGUAGAGUGCAAUCAGUCUUCAGCUUAUGCUUUCUGAUGACAGGGUGUCAUGGGUUGGAGAAAAACAUCUUGGCAUUGAUGCAUAAAAUGGUUAAAAUGCACUAAUUUUGACUUCCAUGCACGUGUUUAUACAGCACAUGCUUUUAAGAUAGUGUAUUUUUUCUGCUGAAACUAAGAAUUCGCUACACCAGCCUUGCAGACUUGUUUACACAGCUAUAUACGGUAUGUGUGUGUCUACAUCAGUUUCAGUUGGUAUAGUUCCUUUGGUGAAGUCUUGUAAAAUGUACAGGUGUGGAUAUGCUGCAUUCCUGUCUUGUGUUUUUCCUUCUUUUUUUUCCUCCUUCCCCCCAAAAAGUCACUUGAUCAGGUAUCAGACACACUGAAAACCUGGCAAGACUACAGGAAAGUGGCUAGACUUGGAGUGUUUGUGUACUUAAAGAAAGAAUCUUGCACAUUUUCAACUUUCAGUCACAGAUAUUUUUUUGUAAGAGCAACUGGAGGUCUGAGCCAGCCCUCAAAGCGGAAAUCAAAAGCUCCCAGAGAAACAUACCCGAGGAAUGUGGAUCUGAUCCAACAACCAUACGCAAUGCACAUAGAGUACUGUCAGUCUUAUAGGAAGUCUUGCCAUAUAUGGACAUCUGGACCCUGAGCUGUUUAUCAUCAUGAUAGGCUUGUAGCUGGCUUCAGACAUUUCUGGCUUGCCUCAGGUUUAGUAUGCCAGUUAGUUCCUUUCCUAAAAUGUUCACCGGAAUAUUUCUUAAAAAUUGUAAUAAAUAUAUCUCAAAGUCCUGAGAGGUUUAGUUGAAGUUAUGUUACCAGGCUUUUGCUUAAAAUGCAGAUUCCAAGCAAGACUUACGCUGCUAGCUCAGAAAUAGACACAGAAUAAAAAUAAAGAUUUAUUCCAUU